GACGAACGCUGGCGGCGUGCCUAAUACAUGCAAGUCGAACGCUUCUUUCCUCCCGAGUGCUUGCACUCAAUUGGAAAGAGGAGUGGCGGACGGGUGAGUAACACGUGGGUAACCUACCCAUCAGAGGGGGAUAACACUUGGAAACAGGUGCUAAUACCGCAUAACAGUUUAUGCCGCAUGGCAUAAGAGUGGAAGGCGCUUUCGGGUGUCGCUGAUGGAUGGACCCGCGGUGCAUUAGCUAGUUGGUGAGGUAACGGCUCACCAAGGCCACGAUGCAUAGCCGACCUGAGAGGGUGAUCGGCCACACUGGGACUGAGACACGGCCCAGACUCCUACGGGAGGCAGCAGUAGGGAAUCUUCGGCAAUGGACGAAAGUCUGACCGAGCAACGCCGCGUGAGUGAAGAAGGUGUUCGGAUCGUAAAACUCUGUUGUUAGAGAAGAACAAGGACGUUAGUAACUGAACGUCCCCUGACGGUAUCUAACCAGAAAGCCACGGCUAACUACGUG
rnacentral:rRNA from 1 species